GAAUUAUAAAAAUUAAAUAAUUAAAAAAUUAAUCUACAAAAAUUAUCUCCACAAAUUUAAGCCUCCAUAAUUUUUUUAAGAUUAGUCUAUAAAAUAAUAGGAAAAUCUUAAAAAGUAAUAAAAGAAAUCUAGCCACUCAAAGAUAACUUCAAAAAUAGCAGAAAAUUAUUGUGAAAUAAGCAGGUCUUAAUGUAUACAUAGUGCGAAUUGAUAAAGUAGCUGUGGUUGAAAUAUUGAUUCCAUUAAGAUACUCAUCAAGCUGACACGAAUUUAUCCAAUCUAUUUAAUCGUUCGAUUAAACAACGGGUCUCUCACUCAUAUGGAGUAUUGUUCUAGAGUUUUCGAGCGAUUCAUUAAAAUAAUUUGUUGGGUACCAUCGAGAAAACUCCUGAACGUCUUCAUUGAACAUGAAUUGAAGCAAUCGUCUAACGUUUCAUCCAAUCAUUCUGUAUGUAUAUACAUACAUCAUGCGUAUAUUCCAAAAGUGACGCCAACAAAUUUUUCAGAAAAACCAAAAAAAGCAAUUUUGGAAUUUAUAAAAAAGUUAUUUAUAAAGCACGCAAUGACGAUAAGAAGGGAACAAUAAAUUAUGGUUAUCAAACUAGCAUAUUAUUCAAACGGUGAAAUUAUCGAGUUUGCAGCAAACCAGUAUUAUUGAUAGCUAGUUAUCGCAGCGGAAAAAUUUCAUUCCGUAGAUCGGUUUCGUGAUUCGUAAACUUCGUUUAAGUAUAGGAUAUAGUAUAAUUUUUCUGAAGGCUUAGACUUAAAACAUUAUUUGUCACGAUAGGAUUUUUGCAAAAGGGAAAUAAAAAAAUUUCUGAUGCAAUGAAAUCGAAGUAUUUAGAUUCUAAUUAGGUUCUAGAUAGUUUAAGUAAAAAUGAAGUAUAAAAAGUUUUAUUACAUAGUAUUAUAUAUUGAACAAUGAUUUAUAACUCGUCGUUCAUCUUGGAAACUGAACUGGGCACAAAGACAACUUUAUUGGUGUCGCUUACUACAUACUUAAACCUUUUUGUUUUAUCUCUUCCUGGAUCAGCAUCUACCAAAGAUAUACUUGAUCUCACUUUUCUACAAAUAAAAACAUUUUUUUUUCAUUCUAGGAAACCUGGAACCUAAGAUCUGAAAUUUCAGAAGCAUGCAAUCAAGUCUAAAGUAAAGAAAAACUAAAAACUUGUUAGACUAUGGAUUUUUGUGUAUCUGGGGAAAAUUUAAAGAUACAAAAAUGUGCAUAAAAUGACUAAUUAAUAAUAUGGAAAAAUAUAUAAAAUAUUUAACCCGGGAUUACCCACGUGGGGGUCUACUGCUGGGAUGUACCUGCACUAGACCUCCAAGUGGGUAAUCCCGGGUUAAAAUACAAUAUUCAAUAGAUCUCUAGUCUUCCUAAUACCCAUUUUUUAUAAAGAUAUGAAUUUGCAUAAA